AUGGCUUCAUCCGGUUCCAGGACGAGGCCAUCAUGCGUGGACCGAGAGGACAUGCCGAAGACGUGGAGUGAGGCCAGGUUGGACAAGGAGAAGGAUGUGCCCAAACCACCAUGUUGGUGUGGUGAUGUUUGCAAGGUGAAGGUGUCCACUGACCGCAAAAAGUCAUGGACAGAAGGUAGAAGGUUUUUCGUGUGUCCCAACUAUGCACAUGAUCGUGCUCGGCCAACUAACACAUAUGACCUACCACCGGUAUGUUAG
rnacentral:rRNA from 1 species